AUUGAACGCUGGCGGCAGGCCUAACACAUGCAAGUCGAGCGAGCGGCGGACGGGUGAGUAAUGUCUGGGAAACUGCCUGAUGGAGGGGGAUAACUACUGGAAACGGUAGCUAAUACCGCAUACCAUCAGAUGUGCCCAGAUGGGAUUAGGUAGUUGGUGGGGUAAUGGCCUACCAAGCCGACGAUCUCUAGCUGGUCUGAGAGGAUGACCAGCCACACCGGUACUGAGACACGGCCCGGACUCCUACGGGAGGCAGCAGUGGGGAAUAUUGCGCAAUGGGGGCAACCCUGACGCAGCCAUGCCGCGUGAAUGAAGAAGGCCUUCGGGUUGUAAAGGACUUUUGUCAGGGAAGCGGUACCUAACGAAUAAGCACCGGCUAACUCCGUGCCAGCAGCCGCGGUAAUUC
rnacentral:rRNA from 1 species